UCCUACGCACACAACCACAGGGCUAGGCGAGGUUCCCGUUAGGCUCAUUAAUGUACUAGGACCUAAAAGUAAGGAAGCUCUGGUGAAAACAGUGGAAAAAACUUUAAAAGAUAGACAAAUGCCAGAGAGUUGGCGACAAAAUAGAAUGAAUUUAACUUAUAAAGGUAAGGGUUCGAAAGACAGAAUUCACUCGUAUAGACCGUUGACCCUUAUAUGACGCAGUUGAUGUGGUUGAGUGGGCAGAACAGCAGCGACGCUGGAAUGUUGCUAAAACGCUGCCUGUUUUUCAUGCAGUUUUUGGGAUGCUUCCAUGGAUUCUUCCGCAGCGACGCUGCCUUAUCUUCCGCGCUUCCCUUUCACCGGCACGUGAAUGCAGUCGAUGGCGUGCCCAUGGACUGCCCUGUCACUCCUGUUGGUGAUAGCCCUGGCAUGCCUCGUGGCUUUGCCGACAGCCUCCCACGUGCUUCGCUUCUGGCUGAUGUCAUCGUCGCUCUACCAAUCACCACUAAGCUGCGGUCAGCGACGUCUACACCGGAUGACAUAAAGGUCUUCGCAAUGGCACCUUCCUUCAGUGGGCAGAACAGCAGCGAUGCCGGAAUGUUGCUACAACGCUGCCUGUUUUUCACGCAGAAAAAGACUGCCAUCAAAAUCGGAUUGGAUGCCAUGGCCACGCGAAGCAUGCUGGGUUGAUCUCCUCUGGCGGUUGACCUCCUCUGGCACUUGCUACGGGAUGUGUGUGCGCUAUGGGGAUACCGGGUUCCUCUCGUGAUCAAGUUGCCAAGUGCCAUGCGAGAAGGAUGGAGCAGCAACACAAGUGGUGGCAGGCCAACCGCCGUGGCCUUCUACCUGAGCAGAGCGUGAGCGGUCGGGCUACAAGCCCAAGUUUGCGGGCAACUUCCUGGCCAGGAUGUCCUGGUCUCCUGCUGUUCCAUUGUGUUCUCUUGGCAAACCGGGACCAUCAUACUCCAGUUGUCAACUGGUCGCUCCGCCGCAUCACUGGUUUGACGAAGCCGCGGCUGCUUUCGACGCGAUCGUGGGCAGCACCUUGCAGUUCUGAAGGCGCACGGCCGACGCACACACCAAGUCAAAUCGAAACUACCGUUUGCUGCAACUGC